AAGAUUAAAGAGAAUUCCUUUGUUUUUCAAAUGAAUACCGUCGUGUUUUACGCCUUUAUCUAAAUUUUGUCUAAUUUUUGUUAAAAAGUCGUCCAAAGAAUAAUCUAAGCUGAUCAAACUUAAUAGUAGUUAUUAUAUCAAUUAAUAAGUUUUCAACAUCCAUAAUAAAAUGGGAAGAAUUUUUCUGGAGCAUAUGGGCGGCAAUCGAUUAUUUUGUUGCGCCAGAUGCGACACAAAUCUAACUAACCGGUCGGAACUAAUUAGUACCCGAUUUACCGGAGCCACUGGGAGAGCUUUCCUUUUCAAUCGAGUAGUAAAUUUAACGUACAGCGAGGUCCAGGAUAGGGUAAUGCUUACCGGCCGUCAUAUGGUACGAGAUGUUUCUUGUAAAUCCUGCGACUCUAAACUGGGAUGGAUGUACGAGUUCGCAACGGAAGACAAUCAGAAAUACAAAGAAGGCCGCGUUAUAUUAGAGAGGGCGCUGGUUACGGAAACCGAUGGAAUAGACGAAAGAAGAUACUACGUGAGACAGGAUAAUUAGAGGAAUUAUAUGGAGAAUGCAAUUUGAGACAAGCGUAUAAAAGUUGUUUUUAGUAGAAAUACCGUGGGUUAGUAGGUAUAUACAGGGAUGUUGUUUUGUAAAGAUUGAGAUAAAUAAGUACCCGAAAUAUAUGACGUGAAGAGGCUUUAUUAGAGGAAGCUUAGAACAUAACUAAUCAAUUAGUAUUAAUUAAUAAUAUAUAAGUAUCUGCAGCAGAUCUCCUAAAGAAACCGUUAUCAAUUUACUUUGUAAUCUUAUUAAUUUAUAUGGACAUGAAAUUGAAGAAUUUUAUACGAAAAAAAUCCAGUAUUUUUAAAUAUCUUCUGAUUUUGUUCACGUUACCUAGUUACAACCUGUAUAAUAAUUUAUGUAUUGUUUAAACAUAAUAUACAUAGUGAUCUAAGAUACCAAAUGAUCGGUAAGUUUUAUGACCAAUUUAAAAAUAUCUAUCUAUCUAGUGUAUUUUUUGUUAUGAUAAAUACAGAGUUCGCCUCGGUUGAUUAUACGAAAAUGGAAAGAUUUAGAAACAAAAUCUUUUAGGGGUAUAUGAGGGAAGGGCAAUGUGCAUAAUUUAAAAGUAUUUUGAAACGUACAAGGUAUGUCAGAACUAAGAUCCACACCAAAGUGUUAUGGAAUACCCAUCAGUAUAUUUAAAAUAGAUCCAGCAAUUUUUGGUACCCCUGUAUGUGUGUAAGGAGGCGCUAAAAUUUUUCAGUAAAGGUUAUAUAUCAUUAGCACAAGAAUUAAUUCUGAAAAGUAAUGU